GCCUUUGUGGCGUAGCGGUCAGCUCACUCGUUGCGUAUUCGAGAUGUCCGUGGUUCAAAUCCCGGCGAGGGCA
rnacentral:tRNA from 1 species